rnacentral:rRNA from 1 species
GAUGAACGCUGGCGGCGUGCCUAAUACAUGCAAGUCGAGCGAACAGACGCUGAUCUUGCUCCUCUGACGUUUGCGGCGGACGUGUGAGUAACACGUGUAUCACCUCCCUAUCAUACUGGUAUAUCUUCGGGAAUCCGGCUCUAAUCCCGUAUAAUCUCUUGCACCGCAUUGUUCAUUAGUGAAAUUCGGCUUUUCUGUCUCUUCUAGCUGGUUCUGCGCCUCAUUAGCUAGUUGUUAAGGUUACGGCUUACCAAGGCGACGAUGCGUAGCCGACCUGAGAGGGGGGUCGGACACACGAGAAGUGAGACGCGGUCCAGACGACUAAGAGAGGCAGCAGUAGGGAAUCUUACGCAAUGGGCGAGAGCAUGACGGAGCAACGCCGAGUGAGUGAUGAAGGUCUUCGGAGCGUAAAAAUCUGUUAUGAGGGAAGAACAAAUGUGGAAGUAAAUAUGCACGGAGUGACGGUAACGAAUAAGAAAGCAACGGCUAACUACGUG